AGCAGCCGCGGUAAUUCCAGCUCCAAUAGCGUAUAUUAAAGUUGUUGCAGUUAAAAAGCUCGUAGUUGAAUUUCGGGAUCAGUACGCUGGUCGUGCCUUCGGUAUGCACUGGUGUCACUGGUUCCUACCUUCUGAAGAACCGUCAUGCCAUUCAGUUGGUGUGGCGGGGAAUCAGGACUGUUACUUUGAAAAAUUAGAGUGUUUAAAGCAGGCUCGCGCUUGAAUACAUUAGCAUGGAAUAAUGAAAUAGGACGUUUGACCCUAUUUUGUUGGUUUCUAGGAUCGACGUAAUGAUUAAUAGGGAUAGUUGGGGGCAUUAGUAUUCAAUUGUCAGAGGUGAAAUUCUUGGAUUUAUUGAAGACUAACUACUGCGAAAGCAUUUGCCAAGGAUGUUUUCAUUAAUCAAGAACGAAAGUUAGGGGAUCGAAGACGAUCAGAUACCGUCGUAGU
rnacentral:rRNA from 1 species